UACGUAGGGUGCGAGCGUUGUCCGGAAUUAUUGGGCGUAAAGGGCUCGUAGGCGGCCAACUAAGUCGGAUGUGAAAUCCCCAGGCUUAACCUGGGAACUGCAUCCGAAACUGCCUUGCUAGAGUAUGGGAGAGGGAAGUGGAAUUUCCGGUGUAGCGGUGAAAUGCGUAGAUAUCGGAAGGAACAUCAGUGGCGAAGGCGACUUCCUGGACCAAUACUGACGCUCAGGUGCGAAAGCGUGGGGAGCAAACAGG
rnacentral:rRNA from 1 species